CACAUCACAUUGGGAAACGAAAUUUCGAUACACCGUCAAACGUGGGCGAGACGUCAAAGACACCAAUGACGUCAGCCAGGAGGAAUGAUGGUGAUGGGAAUGAAUCGCUUUAAAAAUAAUAAUUAGUCUGUAUGCGUUAAGCUAAUCGAGCGUUUGACAAGGGUCGCGUGAGGUCACCGCAGGAAUUGUCUACUUCAGAGUGAACAAGACACAGUUCCAGACGCCGUUGGAUUCAAUCAGCGUCAGCGAAGGAUCCGAGGCGAAGAUAUUCAAAUGAAGAACGCACGGAUCAACGCGAAAGGAUGAAGUCCGAAAUCAAAGCAGCGGAAUCGAGAAAUAAAACUGUUGAUUACCUCCGUU